GGCACUACGGGGACAUCCGAUAAAAUUGAAACGAUACAGAGAAGAUUAGCAUGGCCCCUGCGCAAGGAUGGCCACAAGGCCCUAAGGUAGUUUCCUAAUGAUU